rnacentral:tRNA from 1 species
UUCCCGACCCAGGAAUCGAACCCGGGUCUCCCGCAUUGCAGGCAGACGCUUUACCGUCUGAGCCACCAGGGA